rnacentral:rRNA from 1 species
GAUGAACGCUGGCGGCGUGCCUAAUACAUGCAAGUCGAGCGAACAGAUGAGGAGCUUGCUCCUCUGACGUUAGCGGCGGACGGGUGAGUAACACGUGGAUAACCUACCUAUAAGACUGGGAUAACUUCGGGAAACCGGAGCUAAUACCGGAUAAUAUAUUGAACCGCAUGGUUCAAUAGUGAAAGACGGUUUUGCUGUCACUUAUAGAUGGAUCCGCGCCGCAUUAGCUAGUUGGUAAGGUAACGGCUUACCAAGGCAACGAUGCGUAGCCGACCUGAGAGGGUGAUCGGCCACACUGGAACUGAGACACGGUCCAGACUCCUACGGGAGGCAGCAGUAGGGAAUCUUCCGCAAUGGGCGAAAGCUUGACGGGGCAACGCCGCGUGAGUGAUGAAGGUCUUCGGAUCGUAAAACUCUGUUAUUAGGGAAGAACAAAUGUGUAAGUAACUAUGCACGUCUUGACGGUACCUAAUCAGAAAGCCACGGCUAACUACGUG